UACCAGCACCCCGAGUGGUCGGGACGUUUAUUGGGCCUAAAGCAUCCGUAGCCGGUUCUACAAGUCUUCCGUUAAAUCCACCUGCUUAACAGAUGGGCUGCGGAAGAUACUAUAGAAGCUAGGAGGCGGGAGAGGCAAGCGGUACUCGAUGGGUAGGGGUAAAAUCCGUUGAUCCAUUGAAGACCACCAGUGGCGAAGGCGGCUUGCCAGAACGCGCUCGACGGUGAGGGAUGAAAGCUGGGGGGAGCAAACCGG
rnacentral:rRNA from 1 species